rnacentral:tmRNA from 1 species
GGGGCUGCCUUGGUUUUGACAUUUAAAAAUUAGUAAAUUAUGAUGCAGGUCGAAGUAGUAUAUCUUCGUAAAAAAAUCAAUUUAUAAUAACUGCUAACAAUAUAAUUCCUUUUAAUUUUAAACAACUACAUACUAUUUUUGAAAAAAAUCAAAAAUUUUUAGCUUUUGCUGUUUAAUUUAACGUUGUAAAUAUAAUGUUUAAUUUAUUUGUUCACUAUAACUAGACUUUUUUCUUUUUUAUAGUUUAGAAUAAUUCAAAUUUUUAUUUUUUGUUCAAAUAUUGAACUAAACCUGUGAAUGAAUAUUUUAAUAAGAUUUAAAUGGACGUGGGUUCGAUUCCCAUCAGCUCCA